CACGUAGGGUCCGAGCGUUGUCCGGAAUUACUGGGCGUAAAGCGCGCGCAGGCGGUCGGGUUCGUCGCUGGUGAAAGCCCCACGCUCAACGUGGGAAGGUCCGGCGAGACAGCCCGACUGGAGGCAGGGAGAGGUCGGUGGAAUUCCGGGUGUAGUGGUGAAAUGCGCAGAUAUCAGGAGGAACACCAAUGGCGAAGGCAGCUCGCUGGAACGGUACUGACGCUGAGGCGCGAAAGCGUGGGGAGCAAACAGG
rnacentral:rRNA from 1 species